CAUAUUUUGAUAAACUUUUGGAGAGCAUGUUAGGAGCAAUAUAUAUUUUUGGAUUAAUUUCAUCCGUACUUGUCACACCCCAUUAAUCCCACAUCGGAUAGGAAUGGAAAUGUGAUUAGGUAUAUAAGAGACUUAAACACUACUAAUAAUAACUGGGCUUAAGUAUUUUGGGUCGAUAGUUGGGCCCAAUGAGUUAUUAUUGCUAGUGGGCUGGGUCGUUACAUUUGGUAUCAGAGCCAGUUCACCUGCCGGAAAUGUGUGACGAGUCUCGGCUGAGUUAGGGGCAGGGUCUGGAUGACAAGGCUAGCGAGACGAGUCUCACAUCGCCUGAUAAUCUUGCGCUGUGUGUGUGAUUGGACUGACGAGAACGUCAGGGUCUUAUAAAUCCCACGGGUGAUCUUGGGCUGUGUGUGUGAUUAGACUGACGAGAGUGUCAGGGCCUUAUUAAUCCCACAUCGGAUAGGAAUGGAGAUGUGAUUGGGUAUAUAAGAGAUAUAUAAGAGACAACGGGGAUGUGCUUGGGUAUUUAAGUCUCUAGUUAAGCAUUUUGGGCCGGUGGUUGGGCCCAAUGAGUUAUUAUUGCUAAUGGGCUGGGUCGUUACAGUACCCUUCUAAAGUUAUAAAAUAUCAUAAAUAUCCCUACAAAUUUUGUUAUAUCAUAAUUAUCCCUCCAAAUACUUCCUUUCUUUCAAAAAUGCCCUUGCAUUUAUACUCCAUCUAUUCA
rnacentral:lncRNA from 1 species